rnacentral:rRNA from 1 species
UACGAAGGGGGCUAGCGUUGUUCGGAUUUACUGGGCGUAAAGCGCACGUAGGCGGAUCGAUCAGUCAGGGGUGAAAUCCCAGAGCUCAACUCUGGAACUGCCUUUGAUACUGUCGAUCUGGAGUAUGGAAGAGGUGAGUGGAAUUCCGAGUGUAGAGGUGAAAUUCGUAGAUAUUCGGAAGAACACCAGUGGCGAAGGCGGCCAACUGGUCCGGCACUGACGCUGAGGUGCGAAAGCGUGGGGAGCAAACAGG